rnacentral:snRNA from 1 species
GUGCUUCACUUCAACAGCACAUGUACUAAAAUUGAAACGAUAUAGAGAAGAUAUAGAGCCUCUGCACAAGGAUGGCAUGCAAGUUUGUAAAGCGUUCCAUGUUUCU